CGCCCUGCCCUGGGAAGGUGCCAUUCCGAGGGCCAGGGUCUGAUUUUGUGUUGCUCUGGCUGCUAUGGCCCCUCCCAGGGCCUGGGC
rnacentral:pre_miRNA from 1 species